rnacentral:hammerhead_ribozyme from 1 species
GUACUGUUGAAGAGUCCCAACCAAGAACGAAACAGCUGUCCAGUAC